rnacentral:lncRNA from 1 species
CCGGAGUGCGAGUGGUCAUCUGCGUGGUUGCUGAGUGUGCUGCGUGUGGGCUGCUCUGGGGUCUCCCGGGUGCGAGUCUCCAUGUCUGCCUCUCAUGGCUUGUGCCCUUGUGAAGGCUGGGGUGAGCUGGCCUCCAGGCUCCCGGAUGUGGGGCCUCAGGGUGGUGAGUGGAUCCCAGCGUGUUGGCCGCGUCCUGACAGCCUCUGAGGGCUUCCUCGGCCUGGUUCGAGUUGGAGGUGGGGUUGAGAAUCCGUCUCUGAGAACCUGAAGCUUUUCCUGCUGAUUCUCACUAUUUUCCCAGCAAACUUCCACCCAAGAAAGUUCCAGAAAGAACACCCGUGGGAGGCCUCCCUGCUACAGCGAAGCAGACCUCACCCACCACUACCAGUAUUAAGUCAGAACGGCCAAAGGAAGAUCCUGCCAGACUUUCCCUUGAGCUGGUCUGCAGGCCCCUGCAGCCAGGAACCUGUCCCAGGAGCCGUCCGUCCGUCCAUUGGCAAACAGGUGCGUGCCCCUUCACAUUGCACUUUCUGCUCCCCUGGAGCUGGUUCGUGGGCUGGGGCUUCUCGGGGUGGGGGGGCACUCGGGGGCCAGGGUGUGGGC